AUUGAACGCUGGCGGCAGGCUUAACACAUGCAAGUCGAGCGGAGUGAUGGUGCUUGCACUAUCACUUAGCGGCGGACGGGUGAGUAAUGCUUAGGAAUCUGCCAUUUAGUGGGGGACAACAUUCCGAAAGGAAUGCUAAUACCGCAUACGUCCUACGGGAGAAAGCAGGGGAUCUUCGGACCUUGCGCUAAAUGAUGAGCCUAAGUCGGAUUAGCUAGUUGGUGGGGUAAAGGCCUACCAAGGCGACGAUCUGUAGCGGGUCUGAGAGGAUGAUCCGCCACACUGGGACUGAGACACGGCCCAGACUCCUACGGGAGGCAGCAGUGGGGAAUAUUGGACAAUGGGCGGAAGCCUGAUCCAGCCAUGCCGCGUGUGUGAAGAGGGCCUUUUGGUUGUAAAGCACUUUAAGCGAGGAGGAGGCUACCUGGAUUAAUACUCUAGGAUAGUGGACGUUACUCGCAGAAUAAGCACCGGCUAACUCUGUGCCAGCCGCCGCCGUAAGAC
rnacentral:rRNA from 1 species